UACGUAGGGGGCAAGCGUUGUCCGGAAUUAUUGGGCGUAAAGAGCGUGUAGGCGGUCCGGUAAGUCAGCUGUGAAAGUCAAGGGCUCAACCCUUGAAUGCCGGUUGAUACUGUCGGGCUAGAGUCCGGAAGAGGCGAGUGGAAUUCCUGGUGUAGCGGUGGAAUGCGCAGAUAUCAGGAGGAACACCCAUAGCGAAGGCAGCUCGCUGGGACGGUACUGACGCUGAGGCGCGAAAGCGUGGGGAGCGAACAGG
rnacentral:rRNA from 1 species